rnacentral:lncRNA from 1 species
GAACGGCCGGAAUCGUCGACUCAACCUCUCUGUCAGGAGAGGGAAUCGGCGACUCAACGGCGUUCAGCACCCCGUCCAAGUUAUCCACAUCCAUCAAGUCAGCAACAAGAGCUGACGUUUCGCUUUCUCUCAAAGGGGAAUCGCUGGGAGACAUCGGGUGAAUCGGUGGUUUGAGGGUUCCGAACCGAGGAAUCGCCGAUUCAAGGAUCUGGUGAUCUGAGCGAUCGAGAAGGGCAAAAAAGUGUUGUGAGGGUUUGGGGAAAACCUCUCCGCUAUUUAUAGGCCCUGGGGAAAUUGCAAAAAUCCCCCAGAGAAUCCAAAAUUUACGAAAUUUGAGAUCAAGAUUCGAUUUCCA